rnacentral:rRNA from 1 species
UGCCAGCAGCCGCGGUAACACGGAAGCCCCGAGCGUGUUUCGGAUUCAUUGGGCGUAAAGGGUGCGUAGGCGGCGCGGAAAGUCCGGCGUGAAAGGCAGAGGCUCAACCUCUGGACUGCGUUGGAUACUUCCGUGCUUGAGGACUGGAGGGGAGACUGGAAUUCACGGUGUAGCAGUGAAAUGCGUAGAUAUCGUGAGGAAGACCGGUGGCGAAGGCGGGUCUCUGGACAGAUCCUGACGCUGAGGCACGAAGGCUGGGGGAGCGAACAGGAUUAGAUACCCUGGUAGUCCCAGCAGUAAACGAUGUGAGCUUGAUGUGGGGGGAUUCGACCCCUUCCGUGUCGAAGCUAACGCGAUAAGCUCACCGCCUGAGGAGUACGGCCGCAAGGCUAAAACUCAAAGAAAUUGACGGGGACCCGCACAAGCGGUGGAGUAUGUGGCUUAAUUCGAUGCAACGCGGAGAACCUUACCUGGCCUUGACAUGCAUUGUGUCGUCGGUGAAAGCCGGCUAGUCCUGGAAACAGGACGCUUUGCACAGGUGCUGCAUGGCUGUCGUCAGCUCGUGUCGUGAGAUGUUGGGUUAAGUCCCGCAACGAGCGCAACCCUUGUGGUCAGUUACUAACCGGCUUAGCCGGAGGACUCUGGCCAGACUGCCCUGUCAAACGGGGAGGAAGGUGGGGACGACGUCAAGUCAGUAUGGCCCUUAUGGCCAGGGCUGCACACGUACUACAAUGCCCGGUACAAUGUGAACCGAAACCGCGAGGUGGAGGAAAUCGCUCUUGAAAACCGGGCCCAGUUCGGAUUGGAGUCUGCAACUCGACUCCAUGAAGUCGGAAUCGCUAGUAAUGG